UGUGAUGUAGCUCAGUGGUAGAAUUUCUGUCUACCAUGCAGAUGGCCCUGGGUUCAACCCCAGUAUUGGAA
rnacentral:tRNA from 1 species